rnacentral:tmRNA from 1 species
GGGGAUGACAGGCUUCGACGGAGGAGGCUGAUCCCGAACUGCGAGCCGAGAGGUACCGACCUCGUAAACUCAGUACACAAUUUAAGUGCCAAAAGCACAAACUUAGCUGCUCUUCCGUUAGCUGCGUAAGCGGUUGACAAGAGCACAUGACCUCUAGCAGGUCACGUCUGCCAGCUCCGCUCUCCAACCGGUAGUUGGACAGGCGACACAAAGUUGGAGUGCCGCAUGCGUUUCCGUGCCCUAUGCGAAAGAGAGCUUUCGGGCUCAAACGGAUAGCUCUGGGAGUUGCCUGAAGGUUUGCAACCUCAUGGUUAAAAUAAUUACCUUCUACGCUCGUAGAAGUUCGGUGCUCUAAUCUUUCGGACGCGGGUUCGAGUCCCGCCAUCUCCACCA